AUAUUACUCCCUCCGUUCGGAAAUACUUGUCAUUGAAAUGGAUGUAUCUAGAUGUAUUUUAGUUCUAGAUACAUCCAUUUUGAUGACAAGUAAUUCCGAACGGAGGGAGUACUUG
rnacentral:pre_miRNA from 1 species